rnacentral:lncRNA from 1 species
UCAAGAACGAGACUAGCGUGAUGUAAGACAGAAAUUAGCGCUCUUCUUAUUAGACGAGAUUUUCAGUCUUGAUUCAAGCUGCUAGAAUUGGAUGCUUUCCUGGUCUGAGUCAAUGCCCCGAAAGUUCAAAAUUCACCAGAUGAAAGAGACCCAAUGCAAUAGCAAGACCUCUACUCCCAAUAUAAAGAAAACCAACAAAGAGGCAUUAAGGAGGAGAGUUGGAUUCAAGCCCAGGGGUGGUAAUAAGUUCCGUACAUACUUACGAGCCCUUUAUCUCUAUUUAGAUGAUGAUCGUCUUCUCACCUUAGUACACGGAAGACUGACUUAAUCAGACUGUUUCACAUAAUCUUACUUCAAGGGUCGUUAUGAGGUUAGGUAUAGAAAGAGUUCAAAGUGCACUUUCGAAAAAGAUUCAUUCACAAAAGAGAGAAGAG